UACAUGUGGGGCAAGCGUUGUUCGGAAUUACUGGGGCAUAAAGGGUGCGUAGGGCGGUUUGUUAAGUCACUGGUGAAAGUUUGCGCCCAACCGUAAAAUUGCCUGUGAUACUGGCGAACUUGAGUGCGUGAGGGGUAGGGGGAACGAGGCAGUGUAGCGGUGAAAUGCGUAGAGUAUUGCUCGGAAGGCCGGAGCCGGAAGGGGCCCCACUA
rnacentral:rRNA from 1 species